UACGUAGGGAGCAAGCGUUGUCCGGAAUCAUUGGGCGUAAAGCGCGCGUAGGUGGCCCGGUAAGUCCGCUCUGAAAGUCACAGGCUCAACCUGUGAAAGCGGGUGGAUACUGCCGGGCUAGAGUCCGGAAGAGGCGAGUGGAAUUCCUGGUGUAGCGGUGGAAUGCGCAGAUAUCAGGAGGAACACCAACGGCGAAGGCAGCUCGCUGGGAACGGUACUGACACUGAGGCGCGAAAGCGUGGGGAGCGAACAGG
rnacentral:rRNA from 1 species